rnacentral:tRNA from 1 species
UCCUGGAUCGUCUAAUGGUAGGACAGCAGAAUUUGGGUCUGUUUAUCGGGGUUCGAAUCCCUGUCCGGGAA